GGCUUAGAAGCAGCCACUCAUUAAAAGAGUGCGUAAUAGCUCACUGGUCGAGUGAUUCUGCGCCGAAAAUUUAACGGGGCUAAACUAUACACCGAAGCUUAGGAUACCGCAAGGUAUGGUAGGAGAGCGUUCUGUACGGAGUGAAGUCGUAGCGAAAGCGGCGGUGGACUGUACAGAAGUGAGAAUGCCGGAAUAAGUAGCGAGAAUUAAGUGAGAAUCUUAAUGGCCGAAAGUCUAAGGUUUUUGGAGGAAGGUUCGUCCGCUCCAAGUAAGUCGGGAGCUAAGGUCAGGCCGAAAGGCGUAGCCGAUGCACAAACGGUUGAUAUUCCGUUACCGUCUACAAUUUAAACAAGGGGACACAUACAAGGCGUUUAACCCGGGCGAUGGUUGACCCGGGCGCAAGGGACUGAAAUUAGAGUAGGGAAGUAAAUGUGGCGUAUGGCGAGAAAAGCCUUGUGAAUAGAAGUAGACGCCCGUACCGCAAACCGACACAGGUGGACAGGAAGAGAAUUCUAAGGCCAGCGGGAGAAGGGUAGUUAAGGAACUCGGCAAAUUGACUCCGUAACUUCGGAAUAAGGAGUGCUCGAAAGAGCCGCAGAGAAUAGGCCCAGGCGACUGUUUAGCAAAAACACAGGUCUCUGCCAAAUCGAAAGAUGAAGUAUAGGGGCUGACACCUGCCCGGUGCCGGAAGGUUAAGAGGAGGAGUGCAAGCUCCGAAUUGAAGCCCCGGUAAACGGCGGCCGUAACUAUAACGGUCCUAAGGUAGCGAAAUUCCUUGUCGGGUAAGUUCCGACCCGCACGAAUGGUGUAACGAUCUGGGCACUGUCUCAACUACCCACCCGGCGAAAUUGUAGUACCGGUGAAGAUGCCGGUUACCUGCGGCAAGACGGAAAGACCCCAUGGAGCUUUACUGUAGCCUGAUAUUGGGUUUCGGAAAUCUAUGUACAGGAUAGGCGGGAGACUGGGAAGUAUGAGCGUCAGCUUAUACGGAGUCGUUGUUGGGAUACCGCCCUUAGGUUUCUGGAAUUCUAACCUGCGACCGUGAAUCCGGUCGGGGGACAUUGUCAGGUGGGCAGUUUGACUGGGGCGGUCGCCUCCGAAAAGGUAACGGAGGCGCUCAAAGGUUGGCUCAGCACGGACGGAAACCGUGCCUCUGAGUGUAAACGCAAAAGCCAGCCUAACUGCGAGGAUGACGGUCCGAGCAGUAACGAAAGUUGGAGUUAGUGAUCCGGCGGUAUGUGAAUGGAAAUGCCGUCGCUCAACGGAUAAAAGCUACCCUGGGGAUAACAGGCUGAUCUCCCCCAAGAGUCCACAUCGACGGGGAGGUUUGGCACCUCGAUGUCGGCUCAUCACAUCCUGGGGCUGUAUUCGGUCCCAAGGGUUCGGCUGUUCGCCGAUUAAAGUGGUACGCGAGCUGGGUUCAGAACGUCGCGAGACAGUUCGGUCCCUAUCUGUCGUGGGCGCAGGAUAUUUGAGGAGCUCUGUCCUUAGUACGAGAGGACCGGGAUGGACGUACCUCUGGUGCACCAGUUGUCAUGCCAAUGGCACGGCUGGGCAGCUACGUACGGAACGGAUAAACGCUGAAAGCAUCUAAGCGUGAAGCCGACUCCAAGAUUAGAUAUCCCAUUGCAUAAGCAAGUAAGACCCCUUGAGGACUACGAGGUUGAUAGGCUGCGUGUGUAAGUGUCGUGAGGCAUUUAGCUUGGCAGUACUAAUAGGUCGAGGGCUUGACCAC
rnacentral:rRNA from 1 species